rnacentral:misc_RNA from 1 species
UUUCCGUAGGUGAACCUGCGGAGGGAUCAUUAUUGAAUAAACCUGAUGUGGUUGUAGCUGGCCCUUUCGGGAGCAUGUGCACACCCGUCGUCUUUAUCUUUCCACCUGUGCACCUUUUGUAGACCUGGAUGUAACACUUUCCGAGGCAACUCGGUCGGGAGGAAUGCUGUCAGCUUUCCUUGAACGUCCAGGCCUAUGUUUUCAUAUACCCCAAAGAAUGUAACAGAAUGUAUUAUUGGGCCUUGUGCCUAUAAACUAUAUACAACUUUCAGCAACGGAUCUCUUGGCUCUC